UACGGGAGGCAGCAGUGGGGAAUAUUGCACAAUGGGCGCAAGCCUGAUGCAGCCAUGCCGCGUGUAUGAAGAAGGCCUUCGGGUUGUAAAGUACUUUCAGUCGUGAGGAAGGUGUUAAGGUUAAUAACCUUAGCAAUUGACGUUAGCGACAGAAGAAGCACCGGCUAACUCCGUGCCAGCAGCCGCGGUAAUACGGAGGGUGCGAGCGUUAAUCGGAAUUACUGGGCGUAAAGGGCACGCAGGCGGUUAAUUAAGUUGGAUGUGAAAUCCCCGGGCUUAACCUGGGAAUGGCAUUCAAGACUGGUUAGCUAGAGUCUUGUAGAGGGGGUAGAAUUCCAUGUGUAGCGGUGAAAUGCGUAGAGAUGUGGAGGAAAUACCGGUGGCGAAAGGCGGCCCCUGGACAAAGGACUGACGCUCAUGUGCGAAAAGCGUGGGGAGCAAACAGGGAUUAGAUACC
rnacentral:rRNA from 1 species